rnacentral:tRNA from 1 species
GAUGAAAUGGCUGAGUUUUAUAGGCGAUAGACUGUAAAUCUAUAAACGGAUGAUAAUCCUUUCA